AACUUUUAUGAGCAUGUGAUAUGAGGCUACAUUAUAGGUCACUUUUGACUUAUACCAUUGAACAAGUGAUUUUUCCAAACUUCAAAAAUGCAUAACUCUAUCAUCUCAAAUCCAAAUGACAUGAAAUUGGUGACAAUUUUGAAGGUCGUUGAAAGAUCUACAACUUUGAUGAAGACACUGUUCUCAUUUGAAGCACACAUAAAAAGUUAAGCAAGGUGGAAUAUUGAGAUAUAUGGCUUGACACUUAGAAAAAAUUUCAACAUCUUGAAAUUUCCA
rnacentral:lncRNA from 1 species